rnacentral:rRNA from 1 species
CGCUGGCGGCGUGCCUAACACAUGCAAGUCGAGCGGGGACUUGGGAGCUUGCUCCUGGGUUCUAGCGGCGGACGGGUGAGUAACGCGUGAGCAACCUGCCUCUUACUGGGGGAUAACGCAUCGAAAGAUGUGCUAAUACCGCGUAAGACCACGGAGUCGCAUGGCUCAGGGGUCAAAGGAGCAAUCCGGUAAGAGGUGGGCUCGCGUCUGAUUAGAUAGUUGGUGGGGUAACGGCCUACCAAGUCGACGAUCAGUAGCCGACCUGAGAGGGUGAUCGGCCACAUUGGGACUGAGACACGGCCCAGACUCCUACGGGAGGCAGCAGUGAGGAAUAUUGGGCAAUGGGCGCAAGCCUGACCCAGCAAUGCCGCGUGAAGGAUGAAGGUUUUCGGAUUGUAAACUUCUUUUGUCAAGGACGAUAAUGACGGUACUUGACGAAUAAGCCACGGCUAACUACGUG